GUUUAGUCGUCCUUCUUCCGCACCUGGGCCGCUUGCGCUCCCCUUGGUCAACUCCGUCGAAACCGCGCAUCAAAAUUGUAAAUGGGGAAGGUCGGAACUGCUCACGCAAUUCUCGCGUGUCGCUCAAAAUAUCCAGACCCAGGCGAUCCAUCUUUCCAUGUGGGUGCAGAAGCUAGACCCGCACGAACGCAUCCACUCCUCUAGAUCAUUGUACGCCCCAUCCCCUCGUGGUCCCUCCCAACUCCGGCCUCCGUCUCCGGUCGCCGGAGCCGACCUACCCUCUCCUGUCUCCCACAGAUCCGGAGCUACAACCCGCGCUGGGGCCGGCCCCGUUCACCGGCUGACCAGCGCGCUCGCCCGUGUCGCGGCCCUACUCACUGGCGCCCCCAUCUCAGCCGUGGUCCCUGCUCGCCGGCGCGCUCCGCCCAGCACGUUCCUGUUCGCCGGCGAGAUCAACCCAGCACGUCCCUGCUCGCCAGCGCGCUCCGCCCCAGCACGUCACUGCUCGUCGGCGCGCUCCGCCCCAGCAUGUCCCUGUUCGCCGGUGAGCUCGUCCCAAAUUCGUCCCUCGUUGGCCUACUCCUCUUAGACCAGUCGUGCCGUCGUGCCGUGGUCAUGAGAGUCCCCUCAUGUGGCGAUUCAGCCGGGCCUCCUGUGCCGAACGCCGGCAGGCCGUUCCCCACUCGGAUUCGGUAUGGAUUGAGGUCAAGAUCUCGCCGCUGGUGGAUGGCUCACCAAUGGAAUUGGAUAACGGGGCUGGAGAGACGAGUGGCCAGGGGGGAUUGGGAUUCAGAUGGAGCUACAGCCUUGGCCAGGGAGAAGCUCGGCUGCUCAGGGAAGGGGGUUCUUCGUGGAGACAGAGCUAGAGGUCAGGGAGGCAUAUCGUCCGCGCGCCUCGUGUUCAGUGGCGACCUCGAGCGUGCCCCGCCGGCUGGUGCUUCUCCGCCACACCCAACAGUUUCCCCUCUCCCCGCGUGUGCAGGGCAGCACUGACCACGAUGAUUCGGGCCUAACUGGUGUGCUAUAUCUUGUAAUCCUGUUCGCCCAGGCUAGACUGCUUGAGUCUAGAGAAUAAUCCGUUCAGCUUGUCCAGCAUCUAACGCUCUAACGGACGGCAAAUUGAAUAUUUUUAAGUACCAACAUUUUUCUGUAAACUGACAUGUGUGAGUUUCUUUCCUAAGCUUAUCUCGAUUACCAGAAUUUACUUUUAAGCUCAGUAGCAAGUUUCCGGUUGCUAUUGAUGACUUGGUCAAGCUUUUCUUCUGGUUCAUAUUAGAUGCUUCUUGUCAGCCUGUCGGUGUUCAUAUCUCAGGACAAGUUCCAGAAGAUGAUGGAUUAUACUUUGAUUGACUGUAGCAAUUCAUCUACACAUAUGUUCGAAAAAGCUACGUGAAUUACCCAUACUUUAAGAUGUGUUCGGUUACAGAACCAGGGUGACGGAAUGGAAUGGUUCCAUUCCAACGUCAUGGGAUGGUUCCAACCCCGUCUUCGGUUCAGAAAAAGUCGCGAUGGCUGCUGGGCCGGAGUGCAUCAUGCCCAGUCAGCAGGCUCCGCUGCGGCUCAUGAGGAUCAAGGGAAGGUACAUAUGAGAAUGGGGUGGAGAGGCACGUGGCUAAGCAAAAGGCACCUACGAAUUGGGUCGUGUGCACUUUGUCUGAUAUUUUGGAGCUUAUUCUUUUCCAUAAGUAUGUUAUUAUUGUAUUGGGCGAUGCUGACAAUGUAGAAGGCAUGCCGUUUGCUAAUUCUCCCUGCAAGCAUGCAAAGCUUGGUUCGCUUCCAAAUCAACAAGGAGCAUAUGAAGAAGUUUCUACAUACUACAGAGAUAGGUCAUAUCCUACCAGAAUAUCAAAGUCCGCCUACCGCCUCUGGUUUAUGUUGCACUUUCAUCUCCUUCCCCCCAAUUUAUGUGUGGCCAUCUGGUUAUGUAUUCUGAUGAAUGAGCACUAUGUGUCUAUGUUUUUUUUUUUUUUGUCUUUACGGGUUGUAGAAGAAAUUCAUUGCUACUGAUUUCUGCCUCGUGUUUUACAGGUAAUAAGCGAUACGGUCUGGUUGGCCAACAUUGCGCCAAACAUUUCUAGGAAAACGUUGCAAGAUGUUCAGUUCAAAGGUGAAACCCUCCUUAUACAAUUGAAGAAUGUAGAUCUAUCAUGCAUAAAAGCCAAACCAUUUUAUCUUGAUGUUAUGAUCUAUAUGAAAUAGAAAUAGUAACUGAGUACUUCUCAAAUUAUAAACCUCAAGAGGAGAUUCUUUUCACUACAAUUCAAAUGGAUCUGGUUCAGUGGGUGCGAUUCAUCUGAUCUGUGUUCCAGAGAAAGGUUGGGUGGUGCGGCUGAUUCAGGUUGUGUUGUUUUAACGGAGCAGCAAAAAAUCAAGUUGAUAAUGUGUUGAUAUAUGUUACUACUGGAAUACCAUCUCUCAUGUAUUAGCUUAUUGGUGAUUCCUAGAUGACAGUGUAAAUAUGUACAAAGAUGCAACCUUGACAAUAUUGCAUAAGAGAUUCAGUUGGAACUCCGCAAAAGAAGGAUUUAGGUGGGAUUUAUGAGCACUAAUGUUAGUAUUGUAUAAAAUUGAAGUGGCCUUGACAUUCUGGAUAUUUUGGGACAUUUGAGUCGGGAGAAUAUGCUUCAAGAGGAUGCAGGAGUUUUUUCUCGAAUGAUAUGAAUAAGUUACACGAGC